UACGUAGGGGGCGAGCGUUGUCCGGAAUCAUUGGGCGUAAAGCGCGUGUAGGCGGCCCGGUAAGUCCGCUGUGAAAGUCCAGGGCUCAACCCUGGGAUGCCGGUGGAUACUGUCGGGCUCGAGUCCGGAAGAGGUGAGUGGAAUUCCCAGUGUAGCGGUGAAAUGCGUAGAUAUUGGGAGGAACACCAGUGGCGAAGGCGGCUCACUGGACCGGAACUGACGCUGAGGCGCGAAAGCGUGGGGAGCAAACAGG
rnacentral:rRNA from 1 species